rnacentral:rRNA from 1 species
GUAGGUCCCGAGCGUUGUCCGGAUUUAUUGGGCGUAAAGCGAGCGCAGGCGGUUAGAUAAGUCUGAAGUUAAAGGCUGUGGCUUAACCAUAGUACGCUUUGGAAACUGUUUAACUUGAGUGCAAGAGAGGAGAGUGGAAUUCCAUGUGUAGCGGUGAAAUGCGUAGAUAUAUGGAGGAACACCGGUGGCGAAAGCGGCUCUCUGGCUUGUAACUGACGCUGAGGCUCGAAAGCGUGGGGGAGCAAACAGGAUUAGAUACCCUGGUAGUCCACGCCGUAAACGAUGAGUGCUAGGUGUUAGACCCCUUUCCGGGGGUUUAGUGCCGUAGCUAACGCAUUAAGCACUCCGCCUGGGGAGUACGACCGCAAGGUUG